AGCCACAGCAAACGUCAGCUAAGGAGGAAGACGAGAAGUGCUGAAAGAGCGGCUUUGAUUGGUCCUUCAUAAAUUUCUUAACUGAAUCCCUACUUGUGAUUCGUCCAAAGUAGACCAAAGCCCGGGUGAAGGUGACAGAAAGCGAGGGGUGAGCCCUGGUGAGGAACCUGAGAGCCAGGAAAAGAAACCCAGAAACCAGAGGAAGAAGCUGUUUUCCUAAGAUCUCUGACACUAUAAAAAGGAAACUCAGGAACAUGCUCUAGAAUGGUGUUGCCUCAUUAGUGACGUGAAUGGUACCCCACCCCCAAGAUACCCUAACUUUCAGCAUCUGUACAUGUGACUUAUUUGGCAAAAGGAUCUUUGCACGUGGGAUUAAACCUUAAAUCUGGUGACAAUGGGCAGACAGAAGUCAGAGAAAAGAAAUGUCAUGUGGAGGUGACAGUUACUGGAGGCACAAGCCAGGGAAUCUCUGAAGUCACCAGAAACUGGAAGACCCAAGGAAGCAUCCUCCCUUGGAUCCUGUAGGGGGCGCGUGGCUACCUGGACACCUCUAUUUUAGACCUGCCGUCUCAAGAACUAAAAGAAGGAAUUCCUGUUGUGAGCCACAACUAGGAAACCAACACUAACUUGCCUCUUGAAUGGCUCAGAUGUUAUACCUGUCUGAUUGCCAUGACUAAGCAGGCCAGGAUGGCUGGCAUGGUGCUGGGAGUGGGUGCUGGCGUGUUCCUCCUCGCUUUGAUCUGGGUGUUGGUGCUGCUGCUGUGUGUGCUGUUAUCCAGAGCCUCUGGGAUAGCCAGGUUCUCCAUCGUCUUUGUCUUCCUUGGUGCUCUAAUCAUUACUACAGUCCUAUUGCUUUUCCCUCGAGCCAGUGAAUUCCCAGCCCCAGAAGGUGAAAUGAAGAUUGUGGAUGCCUUUUUCAUCGGCCGCUAUGUCCUGCUGGCUUUCCUGAGUGCUGUCUUUCUCGGAGGCCUCUUCCUACUUCUUACUCAUCAUGUGCUGGAGCCAAUCUAUGCCAAACCACUGAGGUCCUGCUGAGCACGGCAAUGGAAACACGGGACAUGUUGACAUCAUGGAUGAGCGCAAAGGCAAUCUCUGGAGCGUUGACCACUUUCAUGUCUUCAGACCAGAGGAAGAACCAUUUGUUGCUAAGGCAAACCUCCUGAGCCCUGGCCUCCAGAAACUCAGUAGCAGAGCAGAGUCCAUGGGUGUAAAUUGUCACCAUCAAGACAGGGACAAGAGCAGCGAGUGUGACUUAUCUCCCUUCACACCGAUCCUAUGCCUCGAGCAAUGUUAUUCCCCUGUUCUAGACGAGGAAACAGGAAGAAUGUGGUAAGUAACGAGGCUCGGAUGGAGACUUCCAGGAACCACUCCUUCCACAUUGACCUCCCAAGAGGGAGUCAGGAAAACACCAUCUUCCUCCUCUGAAACGGAAUGGCAACACCUGCUUGCACUGGACUCUACCGCCAUCUAGUGGCCUACAGAAGUAACACAGCUUUGCCUUCAAGUCUGUCCUUUCCACGUAAUGUCAGUCUUUCUGGUCUUGAGAUAUUUGUGAACACCAAGCAGACUACUGUGUGUCAGCCCCUGCCCUGUACAAGGUCCUGAGUAUAAGAUGUUCCUGACUGACUGCUUCCUGCAGAACCAAAGUGAGGCUCAGGCAGGUGAGCUUCAUAUUUUAUUGCUGAGACCAGUGUAUCUAGCUAACACACUGACACAACAUUCUAGUAAAUGCAAUGUAUGUGUCUUCUAUGGGGGUCUAGGCUCCUGCUGUAUUGCAUUGUAUUGAUCAAUGUCAUGAUCAAUGCCCUCUGGG